rnacentral:lncRNA from 1 species
AUGCACCUGACUGGGCUGCAGACAGCGGUUGCAGGAUUUGUCGUCGGUGGCGCCGGGCCCGAGCCCCUGCAGGAGCGCAGCCCUGCUCUGCUCUGUUUAAAAUUGGCCUGGCUGCACAUGGGCCCACCCCACUGCAGCUGCAGGAAGAAGAGACAAGAUUCUUGGCAGCCGUCGGAAGAUCGCCUGGCACUGGGGGCCAGGGUAGCAGCGCCAGCCGGGGGCAGACCGCGGAUGAGGCGCUCACCCGCUGGUGGUGCCUGGCCGGAGCGGCACGGAUUGGGCUACGCCGUCCCCCCCGAGCGGCAGCGGCAGUGCCCCGUGACUGCAAACUUGUGCCGCCGAAAGGGGGGAGAUGGUCACCAUCUAUCCCUGGCUGGGGUCCCCUGGUCCCGACACGGUGGCCACCGGCCACGGCUCGGUGUCGGGCAGUCCGAGGGGCAAGAAGGAAGAGAACACGAAAGGACUGGACUUGCAAAUUGCACGGGCUCCCGUGUACAUGGAAGUCUUCAUCUGACGAGAUUUCAGUGAUAUGCACCAAAACCAGCAUGAAUAUUCGUCUGUAAAAAGUGUAUUCCAAGGGAUUUGUCAGGCACCACGAUAAGGAGAGAACAUGUGCCAACAUGCAAAAGAAGACAAGACUAACGGAAGGAGGCAAAGGACCCCCGAAAAGCCUGGGAACAUAUAAAAAGGACCUUGUGAUAGUCACAUUUUGUGAAACACAGUGGAGUGGUGCCAGCCCCCCCCCCCCCCAAUCUCACUGUUAGGCUGUUUCAGUGCCGAUCUGAUUUUUUUGCUUGUGGCUUUUACAAUUGUAUUUUAAUUAUGGAAUAAAUUCUUUUUAUUGAUCA